rnacentral:rRNA from 1 species
AAAGGUCCGUAACAAGGUUUCCGUAGGUGAACCUGCGGAAGGAUCAUUACCGAGUGAGGGCCCUCUGGGUCCAACCUCCCACCCGUGUUUAUCGUACCUUGUUGCUUCGGCGGGCCCGCCUCACGGCCGCCGGGGGGCAUCCGCCCCCGGGCCCGCGCCCGCCGAAGACACCAAUGAACUCUUGUCUGAAGAUUGCAGUCUGAGCAGAUUAGCUAAAUCAGUUAAAACUUUCAACAACGGAUCUCUUGGUUCCGGCAUCGAUGAAGAACGCAGCGAAAUGCGAUAAGUAAUGUGAAUUGCAGAAUUCAGUGAAUCAUCGAGUCUUUGAACGCACAUUGCGCCCCCUGGUAUUCCGGGGGGCAUGCCUGUCCGAGCGUCAUUGCUGCCCUCAAGCACGGCUUGUGUGUUGGGCUUCGCCCCCCGGCUCCCGGGGGGCGGGCCCGAAAGGCAGCGGCGGCACCGCGUCCGGUCCUCGAGCGUAUGGGGCUUUGUCACCCGCUCUGUAGGCCCGGCCGGCGCCCGCCGGCGACCCCAAAUCAAUCUAUCCAGGUUGACCUCGGAUCAGGUAGGGAUACCCGCUGAACUUAAGCAUAUCAAUAA